rnacentral:rRNA from 1 species
GUAACCCCUGCUGCCAGUUGCCAACGGGUGAAGCCGGGCACUCUGGCGGGACUGCCAUCGACAAGAUGGAGGAAGGUGGGGAUGACGUCAAGUCAUCAUGGCCCUUAUGUCCAGGGCGACACACGUGCUACAAUGGCCGGCACAGCGGGAAGCGAGGCAGUGAUGCCGAGCGGAUCCCUUAAAGCCGGUCUCAGUUCGGAUUGAAGUCUGCAACUCGACUUCAUGAAGCUGGAAUCGCUAGUAAUCGCAGAUCAGCCAAGCUGCGGUGAAUACGUUCCCGGGCCUU